AAAGUCGUAACAAGGUAACCGUAGGUGAACCUGCGGUUGGAUCAUUACUAGUGUUAUGCCAUGUCUCGGAGUUGAUUCCUGGGAGGGAGUCCUCUGAGGCGUGGUAAACUUACCACUGUGCAGUGUGUCUGUGUGCGGUUCGACCGCACAUUACUUGAAACCACCUUUGAAUUCAUUCUUAUUUUUUGUUUUGAUUUAUAAACAACUUUUGACAACGGAUCUCUUGGCUCUC
rnacentral:misc_RNA from 1 species